AUGACGUCCCUGUUUGGGGACAGGAAGCACCCGACUGACGGUCCCCACCGGGAAGUGACGAGAGACGUGAACUCAGGUACCUGCCCGGCCCUGCAGCCCCAGGACAGGUCUGGAUCAAACGUCACCUCCUCAGAGAGGCCCCUCCCUGGUCACCUUGCCCCCGCUUGGUUUACUUCUCUCUACUCCUUGGAUCCUCUGAGGCCAUGAGCCCAGGGCAGCGACCUCAUCUUUCCUCCCGCAGCAGUGCAGGGAGCACGAGCAUGGCACGCAGUAGGCGCGACCCCCAGCACAAGAGAGGCAGAGCAGACGCUUCGGUUCCUGGAGCACCGCCCACAGCCUCCUGGCUGGGAAAUGGCUUCUGUGUCACCCACUGGA